UACACUUAUUUUUGUCAUGAACCCCAUUUCCUUAGUUUUUGGUUUCAUUCUUUAAGUUCAGCAAAAACCCCCUAUUAUAUUCAUAUUCUACCAAAAUUAUAAUUCUCUUUGCCUCUUUAAUCACAUCUAUUGCAUGCACAUACACGGCAACAAUUGCGUUGACAGAAAAUAAACAUUUGGAGCGUGAUUCUUGGAUCUUGUUUUCAAAAUUCGUAAAUUAACGAGGUAGGAUACCAUGUGCAAGUGAUUCAUCCUUGCAAUAUUAUAAUUUUUUUUAUGUGAUUUAUUUCAUGAAAUAAUAAUUGACCUGCGGGUCCCUAUGAAAUGAAAUGUGAGAUCGCCUUCAGGUCUUCUCAAAUGUACUAGAGCUUUCGAUUGAUCACCGAUUGCUUUUGAUGAAAUGAUGAUCAGAUUGGUCAACGUGGAUGGUGGCUGAGUGGUACGCAGGUUGCCAAGUAAAAGAAAUUUUUAGGAAUCCAUAAUAAAUUUGUUAGGGCAUUUAUGUUUCUCUUCAAUUCCAUUCAUGACGCUAUGUUUAUUUGAUUCAAUAUUUGAGUUUCAAUAAAUUAAGGUAUUAAAUUUUAAAUUUUAUUUC